rnacentral:lncRNA from 1 species
UAACUCCUCAAGAUGCUCCAUGUUUGCUAGAUGCAACAAAUUGAGCGGUAGACUGUUGCAGUGUUCGAUGUGCAGUGCUUGAGUGAUAUUCUGCAGCUUUGGGAAUUUCAGAAAGUUUUCAACACCACGCGAACCAUGUAAGGACAAGGUGAUGAGAUUUAAUUGUUCCAAACAGUGGAUUUCCUUCAUCAAUGAUUCAGCAUCAUCGGAUAGAACGUUGCCUUCUUCCACUAUUGGCCGGUGGUUUGAACCGCAACGCAGCAUCCUGAGUACCUGUAACUUCGAAAAGCUUGAUAUUAAUUGCUCUGGAAUUCUAGAAAUUUCAAAUGUAUACUCCAAGUUCAAAUAUCUCAGAUUCACCAAUGCCUUGAGCUCUUGCGGCAACCCCCUUAUGUCAGUCCAAGACAGAUCAAGAUGGUGUAAUGAAACCAGACUUGAAAUCCCUGCAGGUAGUUCAGUUAGGGAAUCAUUCUCACUUAGAUUUAAAACUCUAAGCGAAGGUAAAGAUUGAAAGAAACUCUCAGUGAUCUCCUUAAUAUGAUUAUCCGCCAGACGCGCGUCUCCAUUCUUCAGGGUACUCUUUGCCUGCCAUGGCUUGACCCACUGUUUCAAGUGCUAGCGGCAAACCAUGACACUGACUUGCCAUGGUUUUGGCUAGUUCACGAAUUUCAGAAUGACUGUCAAAACAGAAUCCUCCAGCCGCUUGAAAUAAAUCCCAAGCAUCCUCAUCUCCCAAAUAAGACACCUGAAACUUCUUGUCAGCUCUCAUUUUACCACAAGUGCCCUGAAAACGAGUUGUGAAGACUAUUUUGGACCCAGAAUGAAGAGGGACGCCCAAAUUUGUUAAAUCAAUUUUGGACUCCCAUAUAUCAUCCAAUAACAAUACAAACUUCUUAUGCUUUAAAGUGUUGGUGAUGUCUGAAGCCCUUUCUUCAAAACUUUUUCUCUCCCAUGAAUCUGUUGAGAAGCCUAUCCUUUUUCCAAUAUCCACUUGAAUCUGCUUCAAGUUUGGCUCUCUAGACACAACCGACCAGAUAACGACACCAAAAUGAUGCUGUUCAUCACUGCAGAAUUUGUUAUUGACUUGUUUUAACAGGGUAGUUUUGCCGACGCCCCCCAUACCAUAUAAGCCAAUAAUUCCCUUAUUCUGUUCUUGAUCGGUGAUGCAUCUCCAAACUCGGUCUAGUAUUGAUUCUUGACCGACAAUCGUUCGCUCAACAGCUAUUGCAACCGCUGCACCUUCUGGUACCUCCCCAUAAACUUCUUUCAUUGCUUCUCCCUCUUUCUUCAGUUCGAUCACUGUUUCUUUCAAGUUCUCCACUUCUUUGCCGAAGGCGUAGCUUGAAAUCAAGUCCUUGGAACAGAAGCCUCCAAGACACAGUCUAUCAACCUGUCGAUCUCCUUCUUUUUGCAGAUUCUUAACUUUAGUUUCCAUUUCUUCCACCCUUUCAAACCAGCGUUGCACCGAUCUGGUCCGUCUGGUUCGGGGUUGUUGUUCGGCAAGCUUAACCUUAUUCAGCAGAUCUUGUUUUCUCGCAAUCAAGUUCUCCGUUUCAGUUUGCAAGUCAUCGAGAUUACCUUUAAGACCCCAUAUAUACUUUGCUUGUCCACCAACGUAAAAUAAUAUUGGACGGAUUGUGUCCGCUGAGAAGAAGGUUGAGAUGAUGCCACCCAUUUUUGUUGAAAGACUUCAAAAGGGAGAAAAAAAAUGAAGAGAAACUAACAGUAGAGUAUAAUAAAAAACUCUUAUUAUCUCCUCAAGUUAUAGGCGAAAGAUAACAUAUUUUGUUAUUCUUAUCUCACUACCCAAAUAAUUAGCGGCAAAAUUAUAUUUUUGGCGAAAAUCGUAUUACAGAUCCAAAUACUGUGAAGGCGAAAAUCGUAUUACAUACCCAAUAUUAUUUUUUAUUUAUGACUGUUAAUUAUUAUCAUUGUUUUUGGGGGGUCUACCUUUUGACCGAAAUGAUAACACACAGUUGUCAUUAUUAAGGCGUGAUGUGCUUACUCACUGACAGCAUUGAUGGUGAGAGCACAGGCGCCGGUGAAUGGUUUUAAUCAGUACGCGUUGGUAAGUGCAGGGUUUUUGUCUUACAGUAUAAUUUUUAAAAUAAAAUUUAUUUAAAAAAGUUUUUUAUUAAUAAAAUUUUAUAAAUUAAAGUUUUAUUAAAAAAUUUAAAUUUUUAAUCUGCUGUACCGUACNNNNNNNNNNNNNNNNNNNNNNNNNNNNNNNNNNNNNNNNNNNNNNNNNNNNNNNNNNNNNNNNNNNNNNNNNNNNNNNNNNNNNNNNNNNNNNNNNNNNNNNNNNNNNNNNNNNNNCACCAGAAUACACAAGCAUAUAAUUUUUAGUUCUUUUCAGAUACUUUAUAACUGCUGUACCGUACAUCCGCCUUGGCCGUACAGCAGUUUAAAUUUUUAUUAAUAGAGGUAAAAUAAUUUAUUUAAUUUUUUAAAAUUUUAUUAAAAAUAACUAAAUAAAUAAAAAUUUUAAAAACAAUUUAUAAAAUCAAAGAAAUAUUUAUAAUCAUCAAAUAAACUAUUCUAAAUGGAGUCCAGCUACGUUGCGCUAGUGGUGUCAUACCACUUUUUUGUCUUUUUGAGAAAGUUCUAUACAAACCAUCCGUUUACUUUUAUUUAACAUUUAUUUCAUAAGUAUUAAAUUAAUUUCCACCUACAUCUAUAAGUACAUUUUUGUUAGCACCUUAUACUAUAUUAUAUUUAUAAAUUUUUUAUCUAAUAUUCACUUAUAUCACAAUGCUUGUCUUUAACAUUUUUUUUAUAGACCUCUUUAUUAUUUUAAAAUUGAAUAAUUAGCAUGCUUAAUUUAAAAAUUUACACUUCUUUUUAAUUAUAUUUUUUUAAAAUAUUAGAUUUUUUUACAUUCACUAUCAAAUUUCAUUUAACACUUGACACUCUUUUUAUUUUAAUUUUUUUUAAUAAAUAUUACGGUACUGUUUUCUAAGAUUCACAAUAAAUUAUGCAAUUAUUUUAAUUUUUUUUUAUAAAUAUUACGGUACUGUUUUCUAAGAUUCACAAUAAAUUAUGCAAUUCAAAUAGUUCCAUUACAAAAAUAUUAUAAUUUUCAUACUUUUAUUUUUAUCAUUGUUAUUUAACCCUUUGAUUCGCUGUUGUAAAUAAUAAUUCAUCGUCUCCAAAUAGGCAUUGAAUUAAUUUUAUGUAGCAUGGACUGACAUUAUAUUAUUAAAAAAUUUUAUUCCUAUACAUGAAAGAUAAUUUUUUUUUUACUAAAUUAUAGUUUAAAACAGCCUAAUGUAAUAGAAAAUAACGCAAUAUAACUUAAUACAACAAAUAAUGACGUACCGAAUGCACCCAUAAAAUAAGAAUACUUAAAAUAAAUAACAUGAUAAAAAUAAGAGUAAUAAAAAUUAUAAUACUUUUUGAACUAUUGGGAUUACAUAAUUCGUUAUACAUGUAAGUAAAAAGUACUAUAGAUAAUAUUUAUUAAAAAAUUUAUAAUAAAAAGAGUGUAAAGUGUUACAUGAAAUUUGAUAGUAUAUUUAAAAAAUAUCCUAAUAAUUUUUUUUAAAAAAAAAGAGUGUAAGGUUCUAAAUUAAACAUGACUAUUAUUCAAUUUUAAAAUAAUAAAGAAGGGUAUUAUGAUACAGAUGCAAAAUAGAAUAAAAAUAAUAUUAAAUAUGUAAGGUGCUAAUUGAAAUGUGGCUAUAGAUGUAGGUGAAAACUGGGUUAAUACUAAUGAAACAAAAUUUAAAUAAAAAAGUGGAAAGGUUUUUAUUAAAAUUUACAGUAGAACUGCCGCAAUAGAUAAAAGAAUUGGUCCGGUAUCACCGUUGUAACGUAGGCAAACCCUUCAAAACAAGCAUUUAAUAGUUAUUAAAUAUCAUAUAUAGAGAAAAGGAAAAACGAAGUGACAGAGAGAUUGAGAAUGAAAGCAGAGGUGGAAAAGAGUUUUUUUUUUUUUUUUUGGUUUACUUGGUGUUGGUGGGUAACAUCCUUCUUAAAUGUGGAGUUCAUAGAGGAGGGGGUUGGCUUUAAAACAUAUGGAGAAAAUUAUGAAUAUCGGCCGAAACAUAUUCUUCAAUUGUUUGUUACAGAAAAUGUAAUAUAGGCGCUGCCUGAGAAACUUAGUGGGUCGGUGUUUUUUUUUUUUUUAAUUACAUGAGACUAUUGCUCAAAUUACAGUUUAAAUUACAACUCAUAUUUCAUGAGAGUAUAAUUGAUAUGUACAAUCAUAUAUUUAUAUUGAGUCCUGUUGAUAUUAAUGUUGAUAUGACACCGCUCAGAUUUUUAACCCUCUCAAAUAUUCGAGGGAUGUUAAACUCCCAUCCUGGAAGAAAUACUAUCUUCACUCGAGCUCAAAGACUCCAAAAAAAAAUAUUUAAAUUAAACCCGUACAAUAUGACUACGGAGGCUCGAACUUCUUCCCUCACAUUUAUGAGGAGGGGCUCUAAGCUCAAGUGAUUUAGUGGGCCGGUGUUUACUCCAGAGUAAGUGUCGUGCCAUUGCCAGCUAUUAUUUAUUUAUUUAUUUGAGGUUCAUAAAUUCUUUAUGAGAUGCGCUCGGCAUCACAUGAUCAAUUCAGGAUCACGACAAUCACUUUAUUUAAAAGUGGAGAGAUUCGGCGAACAAGGCAUCAAAAUUUCUUAAAAUCUUUUUUAUUUGUGUUGUUUCUUCCGAGGAUGUGGAAGUGGACAAAACAAAUGAAAAAGCGUACAGUGACAAAGCAAAUCGAUUUUUCUGUGCCUCUACGGCCGCGUCUGUGUUGUAACGGUGACACUAUAGCACGCGUUUGUCUUUUAUCUCAGGUUGUUAUUGGAUUUAAAAGUAAGUGAUCCAACGAGCAAUAGAUGGCCACGUUUCUAUUAAAAUUAAGGACAGAAAAAACUAUAUAGUGGUUAGAAUCUAUUUAAAGGUUUAAGACAUAUUUGUGUAAGAUAAAUGCAAUCUAGACGGCGAUGAAAUACAAAAUUAUUCAUCAAUGGUUACCAUUAGUGUAAAAAUUAUAAUUUUAACGUUUGGAAGAAUUGGUAGCUGUUUCAUCGUGCCGUGAGUCUAAGCUCACAUGCACCUCUUUACACUAAAUUUAAUACUUAGCAAUUUAGUGGUUUAAUCACCUUGAAUUAAAAAAAAAAUUCAAUGAAGGAUCCCGAUUUGACUUCAUUGCAGCCAUUCAUUAUGUUGAAUCAACUAUUUUAUAAUGCAUGACAAUACUUGCAAUUUUAGAUCCUCAGAUUGUAUUUGUAUUAUCAAAUGUCAUUUAAAGGUUGUGGUUGCAAGUUCACCAAAAAUAUCAUGUAAAUGCCCACAUUUGAUCAACCUAGAAUUUGCCUAUAUAGAGGCAAGAGAUUUGAUGAUUCGAUGUGUAGAAUUUUAGAGGUGAGUUUCCUAGAAAAUUUUAGAGUAAAUCUAGAGUGAAUUUUAUGGAGAAGUGUAGUUAAUAAGAAGAGAUUUCUUUUUUUUUCUCUUCUUCUUUAUUUUAAAUUUUCUUGUAUUAUACUUUUACAAAUUUAUUAAAUAAAAUGAGUGUUUUAUUUACUAAUAUGAGUGGCUAAUUUUCUAAGCCAAGGUGAUGAGUGAAGCCAAAGUAGCUAAUUUCUUGUAUUAUACUUUUACAAAUUGUUUGUUUCACUAUUAACCUGGGAAUCGAGGUGGCCAAAGAUGCAGGAUGGACCCCUUUGACUGUCGAAUCGGAUUCAAAAGUGGUGGUUGAUUUGGUGCUGCGUAAGAGGAGCAGUAGAACAGAGAUUUUUUUGGAGCAUUGAAGAUAUCCAAAGCAAAAUUGAGGGAGACAGUAUGAUUGUAAUCCAGCACAUUCCAAGGGAACGUAAUGCAAUGGCACAUGCUAUAGCCAAAAUAGCAUUAGCAUGCAGUGAUGAUUGUGUCGGGAGGGAAUCUUUUCCCCCACAAAUCAUAAAUGUAAUCGCCCAAUUGGUUUAAUGAAAGCAUUUCUUCUUAAAAAAAAUAGUUUAUUACAAAAAAAUAUAAUUAGUUCGACUAUUAUUACUCUUUCAUUAAUUUCAUAAAAUUUUUAUUAUAUUACAAUUAUAUUUAAAAAUAAAUAUAAAUUAAAUUAAAUUAUUUGCAUUUUCUUUCUUUUUUGAAUUUUAUUUUACUUGCGGAAUAUAAAUUUUUUUGUUAUCACUAAAAUAAUUUAAAUUUAAAAAGUAAUCCUCUAAGUCAAAAAGAUUUUUUUAUAAUAAAUAUAACAACUUAAUUAAGAUAUAACGUAGGGAAAAAUAAAUUAAAUAAAAUUUUAUCCCUUUACAAUUAAUUUUUUAAGCAUUCUCAAACUAAUUGCUAAACUCAAUGAACCCAAAAUUUAUAGGUAGGAUAAAAUUAUAUUAAACCCACAAAAUAUUCAUUAUUUUCUAAAUAUAAAGUUUUUCUCAUUUUUUUUAGAUUUUUUUCUUUAGAAAUUAAAUAGUAAAGAAAGUUUCAAGAGAAGAAUAUAAAUAUUAAGACUGAAAGAGUGAGAAAAUUAUUAGAAACUGAAAAUUUUAUAAAUGAAAAGAGUGUUCAUUAAAAAAAUAAUAUUUUUAGUAUUAAAUGAAAUAUAAUUACAAAGGGGGUUUCAAUAGGAUUUUAGAGGGGUGCUAAUAGUCUAACUCUAAAAGUAUUUUAAAGUCAAGCCCAUGAGGCCCAAUUAGCAAAUCUUGCUCCUUAAUUAACACCGAUUAAUAUCACCCAUUAUUUUAAUUUGACGAAGACUUCUCUAGCUUCCAUAUCGGCUUAUUUCUCCUCCCAUCGUUGCCUGUAAGUGAAUUUAUUGAUAGUUUUUUACUCUAUUUUAAUUUCCGCAUUUUAUUUGCUUAUGCACAAUUAUUUAUAGGUUUCCGAAUUUCUAAUUUUUUUCUGUUUUAUGAUCUUUCUUUCUUUCUCCCUUUCUAAUUUUCAAUUCAAAUUUUUCCUUUCUUGUUUUUGCCCUAAUGAAAUUAACACACAAGACAGUAUUGGGACCUAAUUUUACGAGCCUACUUUGGUCGUGCAAUUGAAUUUCUUAAUAGUUUUAAAUUCCAUAUAUAAUUAAUUUUAUUUCUAGUUCAGUUUUUAGGAAUUUCAAUUUCUGAAAACCCUAAAUAACAAUAGCAGGUUAAGUCCAAGUUAGUGCUAGUAUGGGAGGGCAUGGUGGCUUAAAUAUUCUGCCUCAAAAGCGGUGGAAUGUGUACAAUUACGAAAACAGAGAAAAAGUUCGAAAAGACGAAGAAGCUGCAGCAAGAGAAGAGCAGCUCCAGCGUGAACAGGCGAGAAAACGAGAUGCUGAGUUCCGUUUAGAGCGUCUUAGGGCUUCCCGUGGCUUGGCUCCAUUGACUCAAGCUCCGGAGCCUGUCAAAGAGACUUCGGAAGAGCCAGUUACAGAGACAGAUGAAUCAGGAUCAAAGUCGAAUCAUAUCAAUCUGUUUGAGGGGAUUAAGAUUUUUGACCCUGUCAAAUUAGAGGAGAAGGAAGGAAAAGGAAGAAGUACUGAGAAAGAUGGUUUUAAGAGGAAGAAGAUGAGGAAAGAGGAGGUAGCAUCAUCGGCUAAGGUUGUGAUGCCAGAGGAUGAGAAGUAUAGGUUGGGUUAUGGUGUUGCGGGGAAAGGAGUUAAGUUGCCAUGGUACCUUGAAAAGCGGAGCAAUCAUGAUGAGAAUCAUGAAAGUAAUGAGGAUGAUGAGUCAACAAAAGUGCGGGAGGAAGGGAAAAAUGGUGGGAAGAAGACGCUGCAGGAGUUAAGGGAAGAACGGUUGAAGAGGGAGAAAAUGGAGAAGGAGAGGGAACGAGCAUUGAUUAUGGAGAAGAGUCGGAGAGAUAGGUCGUUUUCAAAGAGUAGUGGGUUUACCCGGAGGUGAACUUAUGAAAUUGUAGUUGCUUUCAUUUUGUAUAUUGCUGUUUCUAGACUUGUUAGAAUUUUGUUGGGCUAUAUGUUUGGUCCUUUUCUACACUUUUUGAGCAACACUUGGUGGGUGCACACGUUUCUGUUUGAGGCCCUGUAAGAGGUAAUGCUCUGAUUCAUUGAAUUAACAAAAUCAUUAGGUGUCUUGUGGAUAACACUAAUCAAGUAUUUGACUGACUUUACCUAGUUUAUAACUAGCAGCCUUGAUGACAAGAUGGUCUUAUAGCUCAUCAUAGGUGCUUGAUAUUGGCGUAUGGAAUGGUUCGUUGUAGUUUUAAUGAGAUCUGUGACUUUUAGCUAUGAUUCAAAUUUCCAUUUUGUAUCUUCAAUGAAAUUUGUGAGUUAAAGAAUUGAAUGGGAAUAUAAUUUUUUAAUGGUAUCUGAUCGCUACAUUUCUUAGAAAAUCAAAUGUCGUGGAAAUUGUUGCAUGGCAAAGAGUAAUAAAAUACAGGACAGGUAAUGGAACAGAUAAAAUAGGUAAAUGGAACUGUGAAGGUUCCCCAUCAUAUUCUUCCUGUAAUAGGCAUUUGUCAGGAUAUGUGUUUUCGGGGAAAAGUUUAAGACAUAUUUGUGUAAGAUAAAUGCAAUCUAGACGGCGAUGAAAUACAAAAUUAUUCAUCAAUGAUUACCAUUAGUGUAAAAAUUAUAAUUUUAACGUUUGGAAGAAUUGGUAGCUGUUUCAUCGUGCCGUGAGUCUAAGCUCACAUGCACCUCUUUACACUAAAUUUAAUACUUAGCAAUUUAGUGGUUUAAUCACCUUGAAUUAAAAAAAAAAAAUCAAUGAAGGAUCCCGAUUUGACUUCAUUGUAGCCAUUCAUUAUGUUGAAUCAACUAUUUUAUAAUGCAUGACAAUACUUGCAAUUUUAGAUCCUCAGAUUGUAUUUGUAUUAUCAAAUGUCAUUUAAAGGUUGUGGUUGCAAGUUCACCAAAAAUAUCAUGUAAAUGCCCACAUUUGAUCAACCUAGAAUUUGCCUAUAUAGAGGCAAGAGAUUUGAUGAUUCGAUGUGUAGAAUUUUAGAGGUGAGUUUCCUAGAGAAUUUUAAAAUAAAUCUAGAGUGAAUUUUAUGGAGAAGUGUAGUUAAUAAGAAGAGAUUUCUUUUUUUUUCUCUUCUUCUUUAUUUUAAAUUUUCUUAUAUUAUAUUUUUAUAAAUUUAUUAAAUAAAAUGAAUGUUUUAUUUACUAAUAUGAGUGGCUAAUUUUCUAAGCCAAGGUGAUGAGUGAAGCCAAAGUAGCUAAUUUCUUGUAUUAUACUUUUACAAAUUGUUUGUUUCACUAUUAACCUGGGAAUCGAGGUGGCCAAAGAUGCAGGAUGGACCCCUUUGACUGUCGAAUCGGAUUCAAAAGUGGUGGUUGAUUUGGUGCUGCGUAAGAGGAGCAGUAGAACAGAGAUUUUUUUGGAGCAUUGAAGAUAUCCAAAGCAAAAUUGAGGGAGACAGUAUGAUUGUAAUCCAGCACAUUCCAAGGGAACGUAAUGCAAUGGCACAUGCUAUAGCCAAAAUAGCAUUAGCAUGCAGUGAUGAUUGUGUCGGGAGGGAAUCUUUUCCCCCACAAAUCAUAAAUGUAAUCGCCCAAUUGGUUUAAUGAAAGCAUUUCUUCUUAAAAAAAAUAGUUUAUUACAAAAAAAUAUAAUUAGUUCGACUAUUAUUACUCUUUCAUUAAUUUCAUAAAAUUUUUAUUAUAUUACAAUUAUAUUUAAAAAUAAAUAUAAAUUAAAUUAAAUUAUUUGCAUUUUCUUUCUUUUUUGAAUUUUAUUUUACUUGCGGAAUAUAAAUUUUUUUGUUAUCACUAAAAUAAUUUAAAUUUAAAAAGUAAUCCUCUAAGUCAAAAAGAUUUUUUUAUAAUAAAUAUAACAACUUAAUUAAGAUAUAACGUAGGGAAAAAUAAAUUAAAUAAAAUUUUAUCCCUUUACAAUUAAUUUUUUAAGCAUUCUCAAACUAAUUGCUAAACUCAAUGAACCCAAAAUUUAUAGGUAGGAUAAAAUUAUAUUAAACCCACAAAAUAUUCAUUAUUUUCUAAAUAUAAAGUUUUUCUCAUUUUUUUUAGAUUUUUUUCUUUAGAAAUUAAAUAGUAAAAAAAGUUUAAAGAGAGGAAUACAAAUAUUAAGAUUGAAAGAGUGAGAAAAUUAUUAGAAAUUAAAAAAAUCAUAAAUAAAAAGAAUAUUCAUUUAAAAAAUAAAAUUUUAAUAUUAUAUAAAAUAUAAUUAAAAAAAGAGUUUCAAUACGAUUUUAAUUGACUUGAAUGUGACAUAGGCGCUGCCUGAGAAGAAAAUUGGUGGGCAGUGUUUUCUCCGAAGUAAUUGUCAUAUCAUUACCAGAUAUUAUUUGUUUAUUUUAUUUAAAGUUGGAAGUGGACGAAAUUUCUUAAAAUCAUUUUUAUUUGUCUUGUUUGUCUCGAGGAUUUGGAAGUGGACGAAAUGAAUGAAAAAGGUUACAAUGACUAAACAAAUAGAUUUUUUUUGCGCCUCUACAGCCAUGUCUAUGUUGUAACUGUAACACUAUUGUGUGCGUUUUGUCUUUAUCUCAUGUAAUUAUUUUAUUUAAAAGCAAGUGAUCCAACCAGUAACAGAUGGCCACGUUUCUUUUAAAAAUGUAUUGGUGAAGUCAGUUAAGAAGAGGUAAAAAUAAGGAUAGAUAAAAUUAUACAGUGGUUAGACACUAUUUAAGGGUACCUUUAUAAUAUUGUAAUUUUUUUAGAGGAUCAAUAGUUUAAGUAAUAUUAAUCAUUAGAUUUAAUUAACAGUGUAUAUUAUAUUUAUUAAUUAUUUUUAAAAUAACAUAAACAGUUAACAAAGGGACGAAUUGUUGGAUCCUGGAGUUGGUAGAAAUAUGAGAAAUUUCAAUGACCACCCCUACAAUUUUAAAUAUUCUCACAUUUUUUAUUUGAAUAACAUAUAUCGUUUAAUAUCACAAAAUUCAAUAAAAUAUAUGAUUUCAAUGAAAUAUAUGAACAUGCAUAUGAAACCCACAUUCAUAGGAAAGUUUCAUUAGACUUUUAAAGUUUAUCUUACCUAUGUAUCCUAAACCAUUCAUUAUCAACUUUUCGUAAUUUUAUUAAAUAUGAAUUUCAAGCAAAACAAGAAAGAGUAACAAUAUGUAAUUAAUUUGAAGAUUUAAUGUAAAACUCACAAUUGUUAAAAUAGUGCUUAAAUUAUGUCAUUAAUGUUAUAAGAUAAUUUGAUUAUCAUGUAACCAAACUAAUUUCAAAAUUUAUUUUGAAAGCAUGCAAAACUAAUUUCAAAAUUUAUUUUGAGAGCAUGCAAACGGAUGUAGUCUCUACUAUGUGAUUUUUUAAUUCUAAUUUAUGGCCAUAGAAGAGAAUUGGAAGAUCCAUAUUUGCCCAAUAGUGAAAUAUAAAUAAUAGCCCUUUAAUUUCUCAUGUGGUAUAUUUCAUUGGCUUAUUAGCUUACAAAACUAUAUGCAAGUGUUAAAAAUUGGACUACUGCAUGAAAUGUCAUGUGAUAUAUUUCAUUUGAACUUAGAUUAAUUAAAUGCCUAUAUAUGGUUUACUUCAUUAAUCUAAAAAUUAAUUUUCAAUGAUAUUUAUAUGUGACAUAUCAAUUCAUAAUAUAUCAGGGUAAUUACGAUUUUAAUUUCCCUUCUAUUAGUAAAUAGGGGUAGAUAGAAGUACUCAAUAUAUAUAUGUGUGUGUGUGUGUGUGUGUGUGUGUGCAUAUUAAUUCAUAUGUCUUAAUGACUAAAAGAAAAAUCACCUCUACUAACUUAAACAGGUCUUAUAUGUCUUUCUAUAGUAGUGUUUGUAAAAUAUAUUUUAUUUGCUAUGCUUUGGAGGACGUGUAGUAUAUUAUUUUAUAAUUUACAAAAAACGUGUUUAACAUGUUUUAACUUUUAUUAUUGUCAAAUAGAUUAUGUUUAAUACAUUUUAUAAUUUGAUUUAAGAUUUAGGCUCGCCAAACAUAUAUUACACUUGUACUAUUAAAAUCAAAAUGAAAAUAAGGGCUACAAAAUGAUACUGAACAUGCCCUAAGUUACUUGAAGUGUCAGUUUAGAAAUAAGUAUCAUCGUAGGCUUAAAUUUAUGGAACAACUUUUCAGGACUGUUGGUCUUCCUCCAUUAGCUUAUUUUAGGUCUAUAUUUCCAUUUUUUUUUCAAUGGAUGCAAGAUGAUGAUGAUGAUGAAAUUGUGCUACUCGUAACGAUGCACCUUCGUAUUCAAUAAGAAUCAUAUGCAUAUUCAACAGUGAAAAUAUGAUAAUUCUGUCGUAAUUUGAUCAUAUUACAAUACAAUUGACUACUAAAAAAUGUCUUUAUAUUUUUAUUACAUUUUACAUUAAAGUUGUAGCACAUUAUAAAUGCAAAUCUUAAUGUUUAAUAACAUAACACUUCAACAAAGUCAACGUCUUAAGUAUGAUGUAUGAUAUAGAAUAUUGAAAUAGUUAUACCUAACACUCACAACAAUUUAUAAUAAUUUAUAGUGUUUUAUUUACAAUAUCUUUUCUAAUUAUAUAUGUAUUAAUAUCUAUCUUAAAGUCAAUUUUUGGAUUAGUAGAUUUUAAUAAAUCCAUUGGGAUAGAUUAAUAAUAACUUAAUAUUAAAAAAAUUCAUUAUACAUGUUAUUUUAUUAAUAUACUUAUUUUAAUAUUUUAUUUGUAUCAUAUGAUAUUUAUUAUUAUUUUUAUCCUACUACUAUAUGUAUAUUUAUUUAGGUUGUUUAAAUCAAAACGUAUAAUAGUCAUUUAUGAAAAUUAAGGGGUCUAUAUUACCAUUUACGAAACUAAGUGGAUCUAUAUGACUAUUUGAGCAAACAUUGAGGUGUGUGUGGCUUUUUCUCAAAUUAAUAUUAAUUUAAAAUUAAAAACCAAAUAAUUACCAGCAACUUGUAAAUUACAUGCUACAUUUUCAUUAAUUAUUUAAUUAUCCAUUAUAUUAAAUGGACGAUUGAGAUUAAAAUACUUAAAACUAAUGGUUCACAUUAAUCCCACUAUCAAUGUUGUAAAAAUACAUACAUUAUCAUAAAGAAAUCCACUAUUUAAAGGUUUAAAACAAAUUUGUGUAAGAUAAAAGCAAUCUAGACGGUGAUGAAAUAAAAAAUUGUUCAUCAAUGAUUAAUAUUAGAAAGUAUACAUUAAUUAAAUAAAAGUAAAAAUUAUAAUUUUAACUUUUGGAAGAAUAGGUAGCCGUUUUAUUUAAUAUUAAUUCUGAAAGGCUGGGUAUCAUGCCUUGUGUCUAAGCUUACAUGCACCUCUUUACACUAGAUCUAAUACUUAUCAAUUGAGUGGUUCAACCACUUUGAAUUAAAAAAAAAAAAUCCAAUGGAGGAUCCCGAUUUGAUUUCAUUAUAGCCAUUGAUUAUGUUGAAUCAACCGUUUUAUAAUGCAUGACGAUACUUGCAAUUUUGGACCCCUUGGAUUGUAUUUGUAUUAUCAAAGGUCAUUUAAAGGUUGUGGUUGCAAGUUCACCAAAAAUAUCAUGUAAAUGCCCACACUUGAUCAACCUAGAAUUUGCCUAUAUAAAGGCAAGAGAUUUGAUAAUUCCGUGUGUAGAAUUUUAGGGGUGAAUUUCCUAGAGAAAUUUAGUGUAAAUUUAGAGUGAAUUUUAUGAAGAAGUGUAGUUAAUAAGAAGAGAUUUUUUUUCUCUUCUUUAUUUUAAAUUUUCUUGUAUUAUAUUUUUACAAAUUUAUUAAAUAAAAUGAGUGUUUUGUUUACUAAUAUGAGUGACUAAUUUUCUAAGCUAAGGUGAUGGGUAAGUUCAAGGAUUCAAAUUGUGGAUUUAAUUACUUUCUCAAGUGAAUUUUAAGUUUAUUGGUUAUAAUUUAUAUUUUCUACCGAUUAUUUUCAUUCCAUAUUUUAUAUUUAUUUACAGAUCUAAAUUUCCUUGUAUGUAUAUAAAUGUUUAGACACAACAUUGACAUGUGAAUAUGAUAGCGGAAACAUUCCAAUAUGGCCGUGGCAAUUAUGUACUUCAUCCCCUUGUAUAUUCAUAGAGUGGUUAAUUUAUGUGGGAGUUUAGACCUAAUGUUGACUACUAAUAUGGUAGUGGGAACACUCCAAUAAAGUUGUGGCAUAAUAUAUACUUAAUUCUCAUUUUUAUUUAUUGAGUGGUUAAUUAAGAACUAAGUCACAUAAUAUUGAAACAAGUAUAUAUAUAUAUAAAUGUUAUGGCCAUGAUUUAAAUAUCAAGCAUGGAUCUCAUAACCUUAGCGGUUUUUAAAUUUAUACUAUUCCUUAUCAACUUUUUUUUUGCAAUUAUUUUAUGUAAUUAUUGACUGCCAGAGUUAUACUUUUAGAGUAGUUAACCACUUUACUUUGAGUUGUGCGAAUCAAUAUCAAUUUAUAAUUAUGGAAGAAUAAAACCAAAAUUUGAAGAAUUAGAACUAUUGGAAAACGAAGCGUUAAAUAGUGAUUAAGGUAUGAAAAAAUGAAACUUCUACAAGCAAAGUAACAUUGUCGAUGAAUAAUGUAAUUAAGUAGAUAUGUUUGAAACAAGAAAGCAUAUACAAGUUUACCAAUAAUGUAAUUAACUCCGAUAAAACUAUUGUUUGCGAUAAUUGAAUAAAUCAUAUUUGUUUGUAAAGGAUGAUUAGAUUUCAGUGUUAUUUGCUUUUAUAUAAACUUGACCAUCAUCUUGUAAGUCUAAAAACUUUGAUUAACACAGAAUUACUUGAUUCCAUCAGAUUAAAGUUUGGUGUAUGAGUAUAAUGCGUUAUUCAUACAUUCUUUGUAAGCACAGAAUUGGUUUCAAACUUUGAUAAACACAAGAUAAUUUUGCUUCGUUUAAGGUAAUGGCAUACAUACCCCACAUGUUGUUCCCGUCUACUUAACAUGCCAACGGAAACAUGUGUAUGUAUUCCUGUGGCGAAUGAUUUUGUUGAAAUUUGAAAAAAUAUUAAUCUCGUAGACAAAAAUUUAUUCUAAGGUCGGUAUGUAUGUAUUCUGUGGCCAAUGAUUUUGUUGAAAUUUGAAGAAAUAUUAACCUCACAGAAGUUGUCUAUAUUGAGUGACAAAAAUUUAUUCUAAGGUCGGUCGCAAGCAUGUCGGGUCAAGUGUCCCUGAACAGUUUAUUUCGUUUGAGAUGAGUAGCUAUCUAAAAAUGAUUAAUGUAAUAAAAUUUCUAGUAAUUCAUAAUUAGUGUAUAAAAUAGAGGAUACACUGGUUGAUACAUAGUCGCUAUACUUUUGCAUAACAAAAGGGCAAUACGUUGCUUAUUUAAGAGUCAUAGAGGAAAGAAUCACAAUAUAGCACCAUUCAAAGGGAAACUAAUACAUAUAUAAUUAAGCAUUACAAUGAUAUCUUAUUGGUUUCUGGGCAAAUUGUUGAUGUCCAAGUCCUUUAUCCGGUCGAUCUAAAUGGUUAUCACAGGCCUGCACACAAAAGAAUUGUCAAUACUAUGUUAAGUAGUAAUAUUUAGUAGAUAGCAGAAGCAGCUUACUGAUAGUGUCAUCACUAGUAGUUGAUGUUAUCCUCUUCAGAACAGUUGCCAAAGUAAAUAAUAUUUAGUAGAUAGCAGAAGCAUCUUACUGAUAGUGUCAUCACUGGUAGUUGAUGUCAGCCUCUUCAGAAUAGUUGCCAAAGUAAGUUAAUUGUGUUCACUAUAAUCAGGAAUAAGUUGGUAUAAGUUUUGUGAAAUACUGUAUUGAACUUGAUAAGCCUAAUGCCAAUCGAAUAGAAAGAAUGUAAAGAAAACAUGUACCUCUAGGUUAUAUGUAGUAGAGGGGUGUGAACAGGUGUGUCUGGCUAAACUGUUUUGAACAUGAUGUCAUUGCUGGCCUUGCUUGAAAUAGGUUUGAGAUCUAAAGUCAUUGGUAGAAGCAAAUUGUCACUUGCUUGCCACUUCCAAGCACUGUCUUUGGCUAAUUUCAUCAUGCCUGGUGCAUAAGUUGACAUAUAAUUUUCUGCGGACAUCACAGUCUUCAAUGUUUUAACGAAUGUAUUGUGUUGCCCUGCAAGCAUAAGGACAUAGAAUCCCAGAAAUCAACCACAUUCCACAACCGCAUGUCAUCAUUUGUUCCAUGUUUAACUCAUUACAUGAUGAAAUGCUAUUAGUGACUUUGACAAGAUAUUAGAUUUAAGCAAUUAACAAGUUAACAGUAUUGUCCGGUAUCACAUGAUUCAUACCAAAUAUUCAGAAUUGCAACAAAAAAUGAGCUCAAACAUACGACAAGAUAAAAUUGCAUAGAUUGCUUAGCCAUGCAGUUAUCAAACAUAUUAAAACUAAAGAGAAAAAAAUAAAAAAUCACUGAUGGUAUUAAAUGAGAUUGUCCUUAUGCAGAAUAUUUAAAAUAAAAGUUCUUUUGAGAUCAAGAAUCUGUGCGGAAACCGGUCGGACCGGAUCCGGCAAGAAGUCGAGGGAUAACACGUGCCACUUGUCGACAGCCGGGUUGUGAACGUAGCAACACAGACCACGGUUACGUGUAGGCAAAGCCAGGAACCAUGCGAGCCGCCGGUGUUGGGACCCGGAGCGAAGGUGGUAAAGCUUGGUGUUGAGUGUUAGAAAAUGUAUAUUUAUAAAGGAGAAAAUCGUCAUUUUACACUACAAGUUUUACUAACACCUUUACUUUUAUGAAUUUAACCUUCUUUUGAUUUAAUUCCGUGUGUUUUAUUUUAAUUAAGUAUUUUAUGUAUUUUAGGGGCAUUAUAGAUUACUAUUCACGAUACUGUUCACAUAGACGGAUCGAUGAUGUGGCAUUGACCGAUGAUGUGGCAUUGACUGAUGAGGUGUCACGAUCCUGUUGGGCUAAAAUUCUUAUGUACUGUUGAUGGUGACGUGGCAGCAUAUCAGUGGACGAAAAAUCUCGCGUACGGUACAUGCAUCACACAGGAUUAUUUUCAACCAAAAUCUCUGAAUCCAUUUUUGGGAUCUAUUUUCUGUAAUUCCUUCUCCAUCUUGUAUUUUCUUUGUAUUUUAAUAAAUUCUCAUUUUGCCCCUAGUUCAAUUAUGAGUAGCUAAUUUCUUUUCAAGCUUGGGUUGAAGGUGAAGUCUCAACAUGUGUCAUGGGCUUAAUUUGGUAAAUUUAUUUUCUCUUUCCCUCUAGUUUUUGUGGAUGUUUUGACUUCUCGUCGACAAAUAAUACUAAUCUUGUCUAGUACCGCCUUGGUUACACCGGCUCUCUAGUAUAAGGUUAUUAUUAUUUGGCACGAUAAGCCCUUAGCACCAUAUUGAUUAGAGCGUGGUUCAUGAGGUGUGGAUUCCCCCCUCAUGAUUUAAUUGGCAUUAAUACGGAUUAUUUAGCCCAUGAUGCAUGUUGAUACGGAUCCGAAUACCUAAGUACGUCAUUUCAAUAGAAUUAUCUUCAAUUUAUUCUCGCCAUUGCAAUUCCAAUUUUAGAAUUUAUUAUCGCCAUUUCAAUUCCAAUUUUAGGAUAAUUUAAAUCACUUCCACCAUAAUUUCAACCACCCAUUUACAAAAUUAAUUCUACAUAUAAUUAAAAUCCACCUCCUCGUGGGAUCGACACUCGUCACCAUUAGUCUAUUCUACAAUAGAUUCGUGCGCUUGCGAGUACAUUAAAAUUUACACAACACUUGGCACACGUGUGCCAAUGGCUGCAGACUGAUUUGACACGUGCCAGGGAGUCUGGAGAAAGGAAGGAGAAGAUGUUGGCUAGAACAUCAAAAUGAAGGUUGCUCCACAUUUUUACAGAGGAAAUACAUAUAUAGAUAGAUGGUUAUGGUUUUAAUUUUUAAAAGCUUGGUAUCUGAAGUGUAUACGUAUAUAUAUAUGCAAGUACAAACUGGUGGUUACAUUUGGGCAACUAUUGGAGAUGAAUUAUUGGACGCAUAUGGUAUAGGGAUGUGUGAAGCUACAUGUAACUGUGAAUUAUUUUAUUGUUUUUUCUCUUGUACUUUGGUUGUUUUUUUUUUUGUUUUUUUGAUAAGUACUUCGGUUGGUUCUGGGAAAGGCUCAAGAGGCAAGAAACUAAAAAUAAAAGAAAGAAAAAGAAAUAAUAAAAAUAUCUCUUUCUUUUUUUAUUGAACUUUAUUGAGAUAAUUAGUCGUAUUAAAUUCUUCGUGUUUUGAAGAUGGGUUGGUCCUUCAGUGUAAGAUGAUCAUUAUGGUUUGCUUAAUAAAUUAUCAUGGGGAAAAGUUUAUUGUAGUACUUAAUAAGAACGAAUUAAAAUUCUUUGGUGAUCUGAUUUUUUUCUUGAGUUAAAUUUAAAUGACCGAUGUUUAAUUAAUUAAAAAUAAAAAUAAUUAAAUCAUAAUCAUAUAUUACUAUUAUUAAAGGACAGGUGAGAUAAGAUUUUUAAUUAAUUAAAGAACGCAAAUGGCAAAAAAAAUUUAAUCUGACAAGAAUUGUAAAAAAUAAAAAGAGUAUUUAAUAGAAGAAUUUUGAUGCUGAAAGUAAAGAUGAUGGUAGCACGCUUUAAUGACAUUUUGAGACGAUCAGUUUGACAACCUAGGGAUUAUGAUGUUGAUGUUAUCAGGAUUUUGAUACUGGAGAUAAAGGAUGGUGAUGCUAGCCACGCUGUAAUGUCAUUAAUGCCGAAGAUAAACUUAUCAUAAUUUAUACGAAAUUCAGACGUCAGUUUCAUUAAUCUUUAAUUUCAUUUUGCAUAAUUUUAAAAUGCGUUUUUAUGAACCAAAAAGAAAUUGUAACUUCUUAAAUACCAAGACUAUUUUAACACAUUUUUUAUUAAAAAAAAGACCAAAGCUCCUUUUUAUUUGAUAAAAUUGAUUAUGUUUUCCAUAUCUUUUUAAUGUCUUAAAAUUAUCCAGAAAUAAAAUGUUAAACCAUUGGAAACACUUUUUAGAAUAUCAUUUAAUUUGCAUAUAAUAUAAAAUAUCUGAAAAUUGAAUAAGAAUGGACUACGAGUAGUAGCAGCGCCACUAAGUGAUAAACUGUCCCCACUCGGUCCAAAAUUUCAGAUAGCAUAUUCAAUCUGGUUAGCUGAAAUUACAAAUUUGUCUUGUUGGAUUAAUUAAAUGCAUAAAUUCAAGUUCCAAUUUUAUUUUAAAAUCACAUACGCAAAUCUCAUUCCUUUGCAAUUUAUUAGUCUGGUUGUUUGAUAGAUGUUCAAAAUCCAAUUGAAUCUAUUCAAAUAAGUUCUAUGAUCUAAUUUGAAAUUUAAUUUAAUUCAGUCUAAAUAUGCAACGUAACAUUAAAAACAUCAAAAUUAAAUCUAUUAUUAAAAAGCAAAAUAAAAAUAUCUAUAACCAUAUACUACUCUUCAAUUUUUAUGAUUUGACUAUUUUCUUAAUGCUCUAUUUCUCAAGACAUGUAAAUGGAUAUUACUAAUAAGAUUAUGAAAGUGGAGAAGUAAGAGCGUGAACCUUUUUCUUUGAUUAUUUAUAAAUUUUACUCUACUGAUAUGAUUUUCUAGCUACACCAAUGAGUCUACAAUAUUAGACUUCAAUGAAUAUAAUAAGAUCCGUCGUUAGGCUUAGGAGAAUUCUGUGUGCUUUGAGAUCACGUGGAGAAAAAAAGUAUGAAUUUUGGCCAAAACAUGUUCUUCAAUUGAGAAAUUUGGUGGGCUGGCGUUUACUUCAAAUUAAAUGUCAUACCAUUACCGGAUAAUAUUUAUUUAUUUAUUUGAGGUUGUGAAAUUCUUUAUGAGAUUUGGGUUGGAAAUUAAAAUAAACAUUUUUUUUAUCAUAUGAUCAGGAUACUCAUUUUCUUCUUAUUAUUAUUUUCUUGAUACAGGACACUCAUUUUAUUUAAAAUUGAGAAAUUUGGUGAACAAGACAUCAAGUUUAUUAAUUUUUUUUUUUUAGUUUCUCUCUAGAAUUUGGAAGUGGACAAAACAAAUGAAAAAAUGAAUAGGGACAAAACAAAUAGAUUUUUUUUGUGCUUCUGCGGCAUAAAAUAGUUAUUUUUUAAGUUAAGGGUUCAAGUACGUGCAUGUUUUACAAAAGUAGAUUAUUAUUCAGAUUUGUAAUGGGAGGGCAAAUUUACAAAAUUAGUGGAAUAAAAUCAUGGCGCAAAAGAUGUUUGCUAAAUUGCAUCUGAGAGUGUUUUUUUUUUUUAAAGUUAUCAUUUAGCAACAUUCCAUAAUCGUUUUGUACUUAUUUGCUAUUAUUAUGCUAGUAUUGGAAAAUCAAUAGCAACAAUUUCACCCAACGAUUUUCUAUGAAAAUUAAGACAACUUGUCAGCAAAAUGGGAUGUGUGAUGGUUACCGUAGUUAUUUUUUUAGGCUAUCAAACAUGAGCUCAAAGUUUGUUGGAUGAAUUUGGCCAUCGCCCAGGCAACGCGGGCUGUCGGCCAGGUGAUGGGCCUAGCAAAAUGGUUCGUCAUCUAAGCAAUGGGCCCUGAGUGACGACAUCAAUCAUUCGAGUGAUGGCACCUAUCGCCCAUAAUCUAUGCCACUAGAUUCUCGGCAAGGCUUGCGACUCUGUACUGCUAAGGGUCUGAAGACUAUAAUUUGAGCUCAUUAGCAUUAAGGUUUAAUUAAAAGCGUUUGAUACUUUAUAAUUCAUUUUGAGGAAUUUACAUUUAUGUAAUAAUGCACAUAAAGAUGAUUAGAUGAGCACAUAUAAUGAGUUAAAAAAAAAUUGCACAUAAGAUAUUUGACAAAUGUCAAGCACGUGCGGGUCUACCGCUCUAAAUAGUGUAACUUACAAAGGGCUAGCCAAGAGUGUUUCUAUUUAAAAUGGCGUAUUUUUUUACUAUAAAAAUUAAAAGAAGUGAAAAACUGGCUAAAAUUAUGGAUAGCUUCUAAAUUUUGGGUAUUUUCAUGAUUUUUUCACCAAAUUUUCUCCACUAAUUACUGAAAAAAAAAACAAAUAAACAAUUUCCUAAGUUGAGAGAAAAUUGAUAUCACUAUGUAACAGACACUUGUCAGUUGCUAUGUAAUCAAUCAAUCAAGAUGGCCCCAUGAACUAACUUGCAUAUUUUACAGUUGAGCGCUGCUAUUUCCCCCGAAUUUAACCUCGAACUGCGCCCCAAUUUAAAACGUACCGUUUUGAUUAAAUUGAAAACGGUGCCUUUAACACAUUUUCCUUUCCUUUCUUUGACCUGGGCACAAAACACAUUUACACUUUCCUUUUCUUUUGACCUGGGCACAAAAAAGUCCCGUUCACGAACAACUCACAGUGCACUCUCUCCCUCCUUUCCUGAUCUACUCGAAACGAAGGUGACUCACGUAACUCUCUCUCCCUCUUUUCCUGAUCUGCUCACAACGAAGCUCUCUCUCUCCUUAUCUUUGCGGAUCUACACCCAACAGCGAGCUCUCUAUCCUUUUCUCUCCAGAUCUGCUCUCUCUCGGUGUGCCCUUCUCGGUUGCUGCACUUCAUCUCUGGUGCCGUUGCUGCUUCAUCUCGAUCUCCGUCGCUGCUGGUGCGCCAUCUCGCCACAAUCACUGCAUCAAGCUACCCUUGUCGCACUUGGAAAUUAUUUGGAGGGGGCAAAAUCUGUUCUUUACGAAGCCUUCAAAUGCAUUGACUUCUUGACUUCUCUUUUUUUCCCCCUUUGGUUUCCUGUAAGAUUUUUAAGCUGCUGCUGGAUCAUGAACUUUGCUGCCGCUUUGUUGCAAUUUUGUUGGCUGCAGAAUUUUAGGCUUGGCCGCAUAACUUUGCUGGAUCAUAAAUGUCGAUUUUUCUUCUUAGUAAGCCAAUGUGAAAAUCUGCCUUGAUAAGAUCAGUUUUAAACCUGCUAAACAAUCAGGUGAAAUUAAUGAGAUGCCUUCUAGUGAAAUAGAUUUUGUAAAUCGUUAAAUAAAAGUAAGUUUUGGUCUAUUUGGUUCAUAAUUAUACUUUGAAAUUUGCUGGGCAUUCACUGGGGGCAGGGGUGGUGGCAUUGUUGGUGUUGAUUGUGGUUCAGAAUCUGGACAAGUUGGGGAACAUUGAGAGGAAUAAAAUCAGAUGCUUUGCUAUUGCACCUACUAAGUGUAUGUCACUGAAUUUGGCAGUGAGAUAUUAAUGGAUCGUGAAUGGCUGUGAGAGGAAGGGGAAGACGGAAGAGAAAGAGAAAGCAAUGUGGGGCUGCCAACCUGUCGCUGGUUUUGCCUAAGACAAAACAGCAUCGUUUCGGGAGAAUGAAAGAGGAAAAAAAAAAGGAUGAAACGACGUCGUUUGGAUGAGUUUCGGGGUUUGACCCGGGGAAAGUAGCAUUUUUCUUUACAGUUUCAACUUUCAAUUCCCUCCAUCACAGCAUUUUACAGUUUCAAGCCGUUGUUGAUGGGUUCAUCAAAGAAAUGGGCAGCCUUUAUAUCUUCAAUUGCUUCUUCUUUAUAUUUUUCUUUCAUUGUCUUCCAAAUCCCUCUUUUCAGGUAAUUCUUUGUGUUUCUUCCAUAAUUAUUUUCUCAUUUUAUAUAAUAAUGGUGAUUAUUUUGUCAUCAUUUACGUCACUUUUAUGAUUCAAUUAUCACAUGAAAUUCAUUUUACUGUCAAUGGCAACAUUAUUCAAUUCUAUUAUUAAGACAUAAAAGCUUUACUCAACCCACAUUUCUUUUUGACAUUCAUUUCAUAUAUGAGGAGUUGGAAUCCCAGAUGUCUUGUAGAGAUUUUAUUGGCUAAACUUAAUAGCAUUAGAAAUGCUUUUGAAAUACAUGUAUUGUUUGUUUUUGCAGGAUACCAUGUAGAAGUGGAAAAUGUACAACACCUAUAGAGGUGACAUGCUUCCAGUUGAUUAUAAGUGAAAUCUUCCAUGAAUUUGUAGCCAAGUUUCUUCUGUAUCCUGGAGCAUUGGCAAGUGCCAUAAUGAAGGGCAAAAGCAUUCCAAGCUACAGUAAAUUGCUGCGGCUAUAUAACUUCACCAAUCUAACGAAUUCCCAGAAAACUAAUCUCCUCCGCCUAGAGGUUUUUGUAAAUUUUUUUUUUAAACAAUCAUAUUCAUAUCAAUUAUUUGCUAGUUUGAACAUUACGAGCCUUAUGCCCAAAUAUGAUCUUUGUACAAAAAGAGUCAUAAAACCAUAGGCAAACUGAAACUCCAAAAUUUUAUUUUAGGAGCUUUUCUCUUGAACUUAGCAGUACAUUGCAUUUCAUUUUGUCAUUUUUUUUUUUUUGGGGGAACAUCAGGUUAUUGCAGGCAGCUAUUUGUCUGUUGCAGGAGCCUUAAUUGGAGCUCGGAGGAUGAGCCUAAUUGGGACACUUCUUCUGCUCUGGGGCCUUGUAAGAGAAGCGAUGAUGUUCAGGUUUUCUUGUGACAAAGCUUCAGGAAAAGCUGUUUCUAUCUAUCCAACUAUGGCAAUUUUUGUGCUUUGUACUUUCUUGUCCAUUAGAAAAGAUUUAAGGAAAAUUAUUCGUUGUUGUAAAGCCAAGCAUAUCAAAAAGUAUCUCUGAUUGAAAGUAAAAGAUAUAUGAGUUAAGGCCGAUGAAGAAAUGUGAUUUUUGGGAGAAAUUCAGUUGGGGUACAUAGAAGGAAGUAUGGGCUGAGAUUUUAGAAGGGCUUCAAAUUUUAAUGGGAGUUGGCUAGUAGAAUACUUGCAUUCUGUAGAUUGUAAUAGUUUUUGGCUUUCUUUUUCUGUAGGAUCUUUUUGCCUCUGCUAGUUAUAGGACACGUUAUGAUUUUAUCCUGUUUCACUACUGAAGAUUAGUGGCAAAUAUUGAAAUCCAUGUGAAAAUUUAUUAGAGCAUCUAUUUCAAUACUGCAAAUUGUUUUUGACAGCAUUAAAUAUCAAGCACGUGACUUCCAAUCUAUACCCUGCUACUUUAUUUCAUUUGAAGUUUCAAUCUUUUUGAGGGAUCUAAGGAAAUUAUGCUGCAGAUUUAAAACAUCCGAUGUUGCUUCUAUGUUCCUUCAUGCCACUAAAGUUUUGAUUCUAUUAUCAUAUUUGUCACUCAGUUUCCAAUGAUUUAAACCUGAGAAUAUGGGAGAUGAAUGCUGAUGAUAACGGCUAAGAAAGUGUGAAACAUGAACUACUUUAGACAGAUUUUAUGGUUCAAAUCAAAUGGCAGGCAAGACAAUGUAAUGUGAACAUUGCAUUCACAUCUGGAAUUGGGACAAGCUGACAAAAUAUUCAGCAUCGAUUGAAUGUUGUAAAUUGGUCUCAUAUGCCCAAACAACUGAGAAAGAGAGAGUGAUGAGUGAUAGAGUUUGAAAUUCACUUGUUUUGGUGGAUUUUGGUUCUUGAAGGAACUCAGAGAGAAGGUUAGGCCUUCUGAUGAUUUCUUUCAUGGAUUAUGAAUUUACGAUAAAGAAUCCUUAUUUCUAAUGGUGGUCAUUGGUUAAGAGAAGCUGGUAUGUGAAGUUGAAGGCAAAUAUGUUCCAUGGGUAUUGAAUUUUAGGUGCUCAUGCAGGUUUGUUAGCUUAAAUUGGUUAGUUUUUGGUACAAGGGAUCUUUAGUAGAAGCUUGACAGUAUCCGUCAGUUCACUAGUUUCUCUUUAUUGUUAUACAAGUCUUCAAAAAACCCGAUUGAAUUUAAAUCUGGUUCUGGCUACGCCCCCCUUCUUUCUUCCUUCAGUUCUCUUAAUGAAAGCAGGAAAUUUCAAGAAUUUGACAAGAGUUCUAGUUCAAAUGCUCCAUUGGGUGGCGAUUCUUUUCUUAAUCUAAUGAAAUUCCCUGGUCUUCUUGCUUUGCUCUGACCCUGUGUUAAAUAAGGAGUUACCAUCGCAUGGGAGGAAUUCCCUUCCUUCUCUUAAUGAUAAAAUUGAAUGCUUUAAAGGUGGAUCACACACUGAUUGUGGAGAACCUAUAGAGAAAUUGGAAUUUUCUAGAGAAAUCAGGUGCUUGCUACAGGGUAAUGCCUCGUCUUAUCUCUCAUAUUUGGUAUGAUGAUGUAUUUUGUUCUGUUCCUUUCCUGGAGGUGUGUGUGUUGCAAUGGAACUAAAGGAAGCUAAGCUAAAGCCAUUUUAAGCUGGGGUCCUUUGAGUAUUCAGGUGCUCAAAACAAUUAGCAUUCUAACUGCUGGGUUUAGCAGGAGAAACUGCAGAGCAUGUAAUUUCCUUCUGUGACUCAUUUUGUAUUUCUUUCACAUUUCUUGCUUUAUAUGAUCUGGUUAUGGUGUAUCUGGAAAUAUGAUGUCAGCAGACGCUUAGGCAGUAUGUAGGUUUUGAUGCUAACAAUUUCCUUCAAACUAGAACUGAAUUUUACUGCAGAACCAAGAAAAAGUAUAAGAGAGUAGAAUUAGCCAUAUGAGACUUGGUGUAGUGUUUUAUUGUUAUUAUUUAAGCCUGAAUAAUAGUGUCUCACAGAAAGGUUUUGUCUUGUUAUCCUUGAACUGUUCGACUCAUAGAAUAAUAAAUCAACUAUUUGUUUUGUUUUUUGGUUGUUAAUUCAGAUCUUCAAGAACUAGAGGUAAAGCUUACUUGAUUGAGCAACGUUAAAUGGACAAUUUAACUUCUACCAUAUUGAACUUGCCAUUUUCUUUUUCUUCAUUACUAAUUUGUUGUUCUUUAUUAUCUUUCUUCACAUACAAAGAAGGGGUGAAAAUUGUAAAGAUAGCUCACAAUGCUUUUGAGGCUUACUCUCCAUUACGGUGUCUGAUAUGAAAGACAAGAUUGCAUGUUACACACAAUUAGAUACAUCAAUCGGAUAAAAAAAGCGCUCCUACCAGAAAUCUUAUUCAAAACUCUAUCUCAGUAGGAUUGUAGCUCGUCCUGCCAGUCUUCCUUUCCCUUGAUAACAAUUUUACCUACCAUUGUUCUACUGGAAUCAAGUGGGAGCUUCUUCAGCUUUAGGCAUCCAGUUACUUCAAUUUCCUUCAGUUGUGGAAAAGAUAAGGGACCCUAGAAGAUGCUCUUUAAGUUUCCUAGACCUUUUAGGCACAAAAAUUCGAGUUCUGCCAGCAAGUUCUGCUUUAGCAUUAUCUCUGAAACUUAAUUUUCCAAAACUGAUUAUUUCUUCCAUAUUACUGCAAUUCUGCACAUCAAUGUUCUUGAGGUUUGGAGUAAAAACAAGUCAUAUCAAUUUUUUCAAACUUGAACAAUCAUAUGCAAAUUGUUUGAAGACUGCGAAAACCGCUUUGUAGCAAAUUUUGUAUCUCUCCUGCAUUUUCAAUCUUCAACUCCUUAAAAGGACAGUUCUGAAUAAGAAAUUUUUUGAGAUGCUUCAUGUAUGCUAGAGGUAAAACAUUGAGGGACACUAGAAUAUAAAUUUUUGUAAGCCAUAGAGAUUCUGUACAAAUCAGCAACUUUUGUAAUGUUAAAAGAAUUUCAAGAAUAGGGCAACUAUCGAAGGUAAUGCUCAGCAGAUUCAAGUUUUCCAAAUAGAGCAACUUAUGAAGGUUCGACAUCUUCAUAUAAAGCUCUACCUUCUUCUUCUCCACUAUAAUUACUGCAACCCAACAUUUUGAGUGCCUGCAACUUUAGAAAGUUACGCAGCAGUUGCAGGCACUCAUUUUUUGAUGUUACAUAUUCCAAGUUCAAAUAUCUAAGAUUUACCAAGGCCUUCAUCUCUUCUAGCAACUCCUUUAUGACAGUUAAAGAAGGUAAUUUGGUCAGAAAUAUAAAGAAUCCUAGAUUCAAAACAUUAAGAGAAGGUAUAAAUUGAAAGAAACCAUAAAUGAUCAUACUGAUUUUGAUUCUCUAAAGGAGCAAAGUUAGGAGACAAGGACAACUAGGAAUUGAUGAUAGACUCGUAAUAUUAUUGUCCAUCAAUGAUAUCCUUUGGACCUCUUCCCAUUCUUCAAUCUUUGGUGCUGCAGUUAAUAAAACUCCAGCAUGAACCAAAAAAGUUCUCCUGCUCUAUUUUACAUGCUAUCUACAAUGCCAUAUCCCGAAUCACUUCCUGCAUUUGACAUGAUUAUCAUUUACCUCUUGCAAUAAACAUGUGUGAAGAAGAUCACUGAUAAUGGUGGAUCGGUGGAUCCUUCAUCAAAAUCAAGUACAAAUCCCUCGCUAAUCCAAUAAUCAAUCAAUUCCCCUUUAUAAACCUCAAAAUAUUCAGGAAAUAAACUAUAAUACAAGAAAUGAUCUAAUUAAGAAGAGCACUAAAGGUACUAUUGGCGAGGGCAGUGAACAUUGUUAUCCUGGCCUCAGAUGAUAUUCUUGAUAUUUUGCCUCCGAAUGAUCCUCUUCUUAAUAAAUGCAUCUAUCCAAUGGAUGCUUUGGUCUGCAAUCAAAUGGGUGAAAUCUGCUGAAAAAGCUAUGUAGAGAUUGCAGAAUAUUUUUAUUUUUUACCUACAUUUUGCUAAAACUACUUUCGAAAGUGAGAUACAGAGCCUUCAGGUUGAAAAAAUCAAGCCACGAUUUGCCAUUUAGGCCGAUGGACCAUUUUUUAUUAAUAGCACAAUUUUUUUUAAUACCAAUAUUACAUUAAUCUCACUGCUUUGAGAUAAUCAAUCUCCGCAAUAGAUAAACUUUUUUAAGAAAGAAGUCAUAUUCACUUAAGCAACUUGAAAGCCUUAUUACUAGCAAUCUAAUUCUUGGAACAAAGAAAUUUUUUAGCCGAAAAUAGGAAAUAAUAUCUAUGAUUUACCAUUUAUCCCAUAUUAUUUUUAUAAUAACCAAUAAUUUCUAACAACAUAAUUUACAAUAUCACUUUUAUUUACAAAUAUAUUUUUAUUCAUAUUUAUUAUAAAUUAAAUAAAUCAUAUGAAUGAUGAUUUGAAUAAAAAAUUAAAUAUUAAAAGUAAGAAAUAUAUGUUUUGAUGUGAAUAAAAAAUUAACAAUAAAAUAUCUUUCUUGCACUUUUUAUUUUAUAAAUAUUUUCUUAUAAUGAAUACAUAAAAUAAAUAAGUACAAACAAAUAUUUAUUUUUUAUUCACAUCAUAAUAUAUAUUUCUUGUUUUAAUACUUAAUUUUUAUUUUUAUUUCUAUUCAUACAUUUAUUUAAUUUAUAAUAAAUAUGAAUAAAAUUGAAAGCUUUUAAAUUAAAUGAAAUGGAUAGACAAGAUAAUCAUUAAGCACACGCAGAAACUUUAUUCAAAGUCUUGCUUGUUAUUGUUCAUGUGCAAUUUUAUUCACACUUUUGCGCCUUAUUGCACUUUAUUAUUCAUCAGGUAGGAAACAGGGAGAGAAAGCAUUUUGAGUGGCUUGAUCCUCCCAUUGUAGCUCUUCCCACCAUUCUUUCUUUCCCCGAAUGACAAUUUUACGUCCCUUUGCGCUGCUGGAAUUGAGCGGGAGCUUCUUCAACUUUGGGCAUUCUGAUAUGCGAAUUUCCUCCAGCUGUGGAAAGGGCAAGGGAUCGUGGUAGAUGCGCUUCAAAUUACUUGCAUAUCCUAGACUCAGAGAUUCAAGUUCUGAGAACAAGUUAAGCUCUCCCAUCAUCUCUGAAACUUCACUCAAUUUUUCAAAAUUUUCAACACUGAUUAUUUCUUCCAUGUCAUCACAAUCAAAUAUUCGCAGCCUCUUGAGAUUUGGAACAAAAACAAGCCACGUCAAGUCCUUCACAUUUGAGCAUUCGUAUAUUGUAACAAAGUGAAGUUUACGCAUUUUUUGUACCUCUCCCGCGCAGUCGACAUUCCAGUCUUCCAAAUUACUGUCCCAAAUGCUUAACUGCUCAAGAUGCUCCAUGUUUGCUAGAUGCAACAAAUUGAGCGGUAGACUGUUGCAGUUUUCGAUGGACAGAGCUUGAGUGAUAUUCUGCAGCUUUGGGAAUUUCAGAAAGUUUUCAACACCACGCGAACCAUGUAAGGACAAGGUGAUGAGAUUUAAUUGUUCCAAACAGUGGAUUUCCUUCAUCAAUGAUUCAGCAUCAGCAGAUAGAACGUUGCCUUCUACCACUAUUGGCGGGUGACUUGGACCGCAACGCAGCAUCCUGAGUACCUGUAACUUUGAAAAGCUUGAUA